rnacentral:rRNA from 1 species
GAUCAUGGCUCAGGAUGAACGCUAGCUACAGGCUUAACACAUGCAAGUCGAGGGGCAGCAUGGUCUUAGCUUGCUAAAGGCCGAUGGCGACCGGCGCACGGGUGAGUAACACGUAUCCAACCUGCCGUCUACUCGUUGGACAGCCUUCUGAAAGGAAGAUUAAUACAAGAUGGCAUCAUGAGUUCACAUGUUCACAUGAUUAAAGGUAUUCCGGUAGACGAUGGGGA